rnacentral:rRNA from 1 species
UUGGAGAGUUUGAUCCUGGCUCAGGAUGAACGCUGGCGGCGUGCCUAAUACAUGCAAGUCGAGCGAACAGAUAAGGAGCUUGCUCCUUUGACGUUAGCGGCGGACGGGUGAGUAACACGUGGAUAACCUACCUAUAAGACUGGGAUAACUUCGGGAAACCGGAGCUAAUACCGGAUAACAUAUUGAACCGCAUGGUUCAAUAGUGAAAGGCGGCUUUGCUGUCACUUAUAGAUGGAUCCGCGCCGUAUUAGCUAGUUGGUAAGGUAACGGCUUACCAAGGCAACGAUACGUAGCCGACCUGAGAGGGUGAUCGGCCACACUGGAACUGAGACACGGUCCAGACUCCUACGGGAGGCAGCAGUAGGGAAUCUUCCGCAAUGGGCGAAAGCCUGACGGAGCAACGCCGCGUGAGUGAUGAAGGUCUUCGGAUCGUAAAACUCUGUUAUCAGGGAAGAACAAAUGUGUAAGUAACUGUGCACAUCUUGACGGUACCUGAUCAGAAAGCCACGGCUAACUACGUGCCAGCAGCCGCGGUAAUA